UCUGUAGUUCAGUCGGUAGAACGGCGGACUGUUAAUCCGUAUGUCACUGGUUCGAGUCCAACGAU
rnacentral:tRNA from 1 species